UACGUAGGGGGCUAGCGUUGUCCGGAUUUAUUGGGCGUAAAGAGCGUGUAGGCGGCCAGGUAGGUCUGCUGUGAAAACUCGAGGCUCAACCUCGAGACGUCGGCGGAAACCAUCUGGCUAGAGUCCGGAAGAGGAGAGUGGAAUUCCUGGUGUAACGGUGAAAUGCGUAGAUAUCGGGAGGAACACCAGUGGCGAAGGCGACUUCCUGGCCUGUUCUUGACGCUGAGGCGCGAAAGCUAGGGUAGCAAACGGG
rnacentral:rRNA from 1 species